GGGCGGCUAGCUCAGUUGGUCAGAGCGCUACGUUCACACCGUAGAGGUCGGAGGUUCGAGCCCUCUGCCGCCCACCA
rnacentral:tRNA from 1 species